rnacentral:rRNA from 1 species
CCGACGGUGAGGGGUGAAAGCUCGGGUCACGAACCGGAUUAGAUACCCGGGUAGUCCGAGCUGUAAACGAUGUCUGCUAGAUGUGACACAGGCUACGAGCCUGUGUUGUGUCGUAGGGAAGCCGAGAAGCAGACCGCCUGGGAAGUACGUCCGCAAGGAUGAAACUUAAAGGAAUUGGCGGGGGAGCACUACAACCGGAGGAGCCUGCGGUUUAAUUGGACUCAACGCCGGACAUCUCACCAGCAUCGACAAUGUGCAGUGACGGUCAGUGUGAUGAGCUUACCUGAGCCAUUGAGAGGAGGUGCAUGGCCGCCGUCAGCUCGUACCGUGAGGCGUCCUGUUAAGUCAGGCAACGAGCGAGACCCGCACCCUUAAUUGCCAGCAGCACCCUUGUGGUGGCUGGGUACAUUAAGAGGACUGCCAGUGCCAAACUGGAGGAAGGAACGGGCAACGGUAGGUCAGUAUGCCCCGAAUGUGCUGGGCGACACGCGGGCUACAAUGGCCACGACAGUGGGAUGCAACCCCGAAAGGGGACGCUAAUCUCCGAAACGUGGUCGUAGUUCGGAUUGAGGGCUGAAACUCGCCCUCAUGAAGCUGGAUUCGGUAGUAAUCGCGCCUCAGAAGGGCGCGGUGAAUACGUCCCUGCUCCUUGUACACACCGCCCGU